rnacentral:rRNA from 1 species
AGGGCGUACGGCGAAUGCCUUGCCACUCGAAACUGAAGAAGGACGCGCCAAACUGCGAAAAGCUCCGUGAAGCUGUAAGGAAGCGAAGAAGCGGAGGUGUCCGAAUGGGGGAACCCGGCAGCAGACAUGAGCUGUCAUCUGCAGGUGAAUACAUGGCCUGCAAGAGAGGUACCCGGCGAACUGAAACAUCUAAGUAGCCGGAGGAAAAGAAAACAACAGUGAUUCCCUGAGUAGCGGCGAGCGAAAGGGGAGAAGCCCAAACCGGUUGAAGGACCGGGGUUGAAGGACCAUGACAUGGCAAGAACGAGGAUAGGAGAACGGGAUCGAAAGCCCGGCCGAAGAAGGUGAAAGCCCUGUAACCGAAAUCCGAGUAAAGCCUAAUGGGAUCCUGAGUACGGCGAGACACGAGAAAUCUUGUCGGAAGCAGGCGGGACCAUCCGCCAAGGCUAAAUAUAAACGAGUGAGCGAUAGUGAACCAGUACCGUGAGGGAAAGGUGAAAAGAACCGCGGGAGCGGAGUGAAAGAGAACCUGAAACCGUAUGCCUACAAGAAGUCAGAGCCCGUUAAGGGGUGAUGGCGUGCCUUUUGUAGAAUGAACCGGCGAGUUGCGACAGACUGCGAGGUUAAGGAGGAAAGACCGGAGCCGAAGCGAAAGCGAGUCUUAAGAGGGCGAAAGUAGGAUGUUGCAGACCCGAAACCGGGUGAUCUAGCCAUGAGCAGGUUGAAGUUGAGGUGAAACUCAAUGGAGGACCGAACCGACUACCGUUGAAAAGUUAGCGGAUGACUUGUGGCUAGGGGAGAAAUUCCAAUCGAACCCGGAGAUAGCUGGUUCUCCCCGAAAUAGCUUUAGGGCUAGCGUCGGAAAGAACCUUAGUGAAGGUAGAGCACUGAAUGUGUGAUGGCCCCAUCCCGGGGUACUGAAUACAAUCAAACUGCGAAUGUCAUUAAGGAUGUCCGGCAGUCAGACUGUGAGUGAUAAGGUCCAUGGUCAAGAGGGAAACAGCCCAGACCGCCAGUUAAGGUCCCAAAAUACAGGCUAAGUGGAAAAGGAUGUGGGGAUGCCCAGACAACUAGGAGGUUGGCUCAGAAGCAGCCAUCCUUUAAAGAGUGCGUAACAGCUCACUAGUCGAGUGACCCUGCGCCGAAAAUGUACCGGGGCUAAGCCUGAUACCGAAACUGCGGAUUGUAGGAAACUAUAGUGGUAGGGGAGCGUUGUAUACGAGCAGAAGCCGUACCGUGAGGAGCGGUGGAUUGUAUAGAAGUGAGAAUGCCGGUGUGAGUAGCGAGAUGUAGGUGAGAAUCCUACACACCGAAAGCCCAAGGAUUCCAGGGGAAGGUUCGUCCGCCCUGGGUAAGUCGGGACCUAACGCGAGGCCGAAAGGCGUAGUGGAUGGAAAGCAGGCGAAAGAUUCCUGCACCCGUAUAUGGAGCGAAGGAGUGACGGAGACGGAUAGUGUGACCCUCUUAAUGGAUUGAGGGCGAAGCGAAGCGGCUGGUUACCAGGCAAAUCCGGUAACCAAAAGGCUAGAGCGUGACAGGUAAGCGAAAUCUUAGGAAAGUAGCGAAGCACAUGAUGACGGCUUCCAGGAAAAGCUUCUGGCAAUGCAUAUGCGGCCCGUACCAAAACCGACACAGGUGGGCAGGGAGAGAAUCCCGAGGUGAGCGAGAGAACUGUUGCCAAGGAACUCGGCAAAAUGACUCCGUAAGUUAGCGAGAAGGAGUGCUUAAGCAAUUAAGCCGCAGUGAAGAGGCCCAAGCGACUGUUUAACUAAAACACAGCUCUCUGCGAAGUCGCAAGACGAAGUAUAGGGGGUGACACCUGCCCGGUGCUGGAAGGUUAAGAGGAUCUGUUAAGAGCGAUCUGAAGCAGUGAUCCGAAGCCCCAGUGAACGGCGGCCGUAACUAUAACGGUCCUAAGGUAGCGAAAUUCCUUGUCAGGUAAGUUCUGACCCGCACGAAAGGUGUAACGAUUUGGGCGCUGUCUCGGCAGCAGACUCGGUGAAAUCUUAGUACCUGUGAAAAUGCAGGUUACCCGCAACUAGACGGAAAGACCCCAUGGAGCUUUACUGCAGCCUGAUAUUGAAUUCUGGUCAUACAUGUACAGGAUAGGUGGGAGACAAAGAGACGUGCACGCCAGUGUACGAGGAGUCGACGUUGGGAUACCACUCUUGUGUGACCGGGGUUCUAACCUGGUAUCGAGAACAGGUACGGGGAGAGUGUCAGGUGGGCAGUUUGACUGGGGCGGUCGCCUCCCAAAGAGUAACGGAGGCGCCCAAAGGUACGCUCAGAUUGGAUGGAAACCAAUCGUCGAGUGCAAUUGCAGAAGCGUGCUUGACUGUGAGACAGACAAGUCGAACAGGGACGAAAGUCGGGAAUAGUGAUCCGGCGGUGCCGAAUGGAAGGGCCGUCGCUCAACGG